UACGGAGGGUGCGAGCGUUGUCCGGAAUCACUGGGCGUAAAGGGCGCGUAGGUGGCGUGAUAAGGGUGUGGUGAAAGCCCGGGGCUCAACCCCGGGACUGCCAUGCCGACUGUCAGGCUAGAGUACUGUAGGGGCAGGCGGAAUUCCGGGUGUAGCGGUGGAAUGCGUAGAGAUCCGGAGGAAGACCGGUGGCGAAGGCGGCCUGCUGGGCCGACAUUGACGCUCAGGCACGAAAGCGUGGGGAGCAAACAGG
rnacentral:rRNA from 1 species